rnacentral:lncRNA from 1 species
GGCUCCCCAGCAGCUAAAAGCUGCUUUUCCCACAAAAUCAGGCCAGACUCCAGAUGAGGCCAGAUGGUUGCACAAGGUCUCACAGAGCCCAGACCUAGGCUCCAAGCCUGGGAAGUGCCCAUCAUCACACGUGUGUGGGCGUGUCUGCGAACGUACUGCCCACAAUCAGACCAUGUACUUUGGAAAGAUCUGAGGCGUUCUGAAGUGUUUUCUCUCCAACUCCACGCUUUGAAAAUUAUUCCUUUGAAUCUCUGAUUUUUUUUUUUUUUUUUUUUUGCCACUCUUGUGGCAUGUGGAAGUUUCUGGGCCCGGGACUGAAACCAAGCCACAGUAGUGACAAUGCCAGAUCCUUAACCACUAGACCACCGGGGAACUCCUAGACGUCUGAAUAUUAAAUAUCACCUAAAACACAUGUUUUGUUUCUGAUCACAUGUAUUUUAUUAGUGCUUGUCAAAAUACAGUGGGGGAUUUUUGGGGGUUUUUUGGUUUUUUUUUUUUUUUUUUUUGUCUUUUCUAGGGCCGCACCCGUGACAUAUGGAGGUUCCCAGGCUAGGGGUCUAAUCGGAACUGUAGCCACUGGCCUCUACCUGGAAGAGUACCACCGGGGUUACCCCUGGUCUAAGAUGGGUAAGUUGGGGCAGAGGGGGGCAGGACAUAGCGGCAGAUUGCUGCUGGCCCCUGAGGGGUUCUGGGCCUUAUCUCCCAGACUGGGCUUUGGGAUUCAGCAAUUUAUGAUCUGCUAUGGUGUGAAGCAGAGAUGGGCGGGGAGAUGGAGGAGCCUCAGAACAACACCCACGCCAGAAACUAUGGGAAAUGGUCAGCUAGGCACCUCCCUCCCCCUUCCUCCCACCCAGGGGUGGCCUGGCCGAACCGCACCCAGGCAGGGCCCAGUAAACACGGAUCGCAUCAUCAUAGCACAGACGCCAGGGGCAGGCACAGGAGUGGAGGAGGGGACCAGGAACCGGAGCAGAGUGUGCGAGCAGGGCCUCGUGUCUCCUCCCGCAAGGGAUCUUCACGAGUCUUGCUUCUCAGACACGCAUCAGCACCGCCUGGGAGCUGGUAGGAACUAGAGAAUCCCAAGCCCCACACAGACCUCCUCCAUCAGAAUCUGCAAUUCUGCAGGGUAACAAGAUCUUCCAGAAAUUUGCAUACAUGGGAAGGUUUGAGAGGCACACACUUCUAGAGAGUAGAAUAACCAGAGGGCCAGACCAGGAGGUGUGGGAAGGAGGAGGGGAGCCAGGAGGCAGGUUUGGAUGCAUACAGUGGGCUCAUCUAAGGAUUGCUCUUACGAGUGGCAAUCUCCCUGGGUCACUGAGUCUGAGUAAUAAAGCUCUCUUCUAUGUGGCAGACAAUGGUUUCUCAAUCGUUUAUAUGCAUUAACUAAUUUAGCCUUCACUACAGCCCUAGAGAGUGGUACUAUUCGGAUCAUUGUGUCCAUACUGCAGGUACAAACACUGAGGCCCAAGGAGGUUGAGAUUAUUCCAGAAUCUUCAGCAGGUACACACAUAUGGCUGUACCUGGUGUUUAGGGCAGGGUCUGUUCUGAUUGGUCCCUGCCUGUCCUACUGGUUAUUCAAUGUUUUGAACGUUGCUCUGGUUACACAGCUGGAUGGAGGAGGCAGGAUCCAAACCAGUCCACUGGGCUGGAGCCGCACUCCAAAUCACGAUCUUUUAUCCGUCUAGCGCCAUCGCCACCUAGAAACAGCACGCCUCAGGGACAAGCAAUGUGUGUCGAAGUGCUUCGUAAGCUGGGCAGCGCAGUAUAAAUGCCAAAGGGAUUCCUCCGCAGCAGAAGUGAAAGAAGCCUGUGAAAAUAGGAGAAGCUGGGCUGUGUGAGGGCAGAGGAGAGUCUGCUGCGGAGAAACAGGAUUCUCUGUGCUUGCUCAAGGGAGUAACUGAGGCAAGAAGGAAAAACUUCCCCGAGGAGAGCUCCAGGAUCCGCGCAGGAAGGCUGGACUCGCCAGAGCCCAGCAGGCGCUAAACAGAUUAGCCCAGGCGUGUCCUCACAGACGGACUGCGCCCUCCUGAUAUCACCCACCAGGGGGCGCUGCUCCCCUGCCUUCGUCCCACUGGACCCCACCUGCUCUCGGGAAUCUAGGACUUGGAAGGAGUCCUAGUGAGCAAGCACCAGGGACUUUGACAAGUGGAAAAGGAGGGAAGGCAGGAUGGAAUGGGGGCUUAUACCACUUUCAAUCCCCAAAACACCCCUACGGAGGAGCUCUUGUGCCUACAGAUGAGCAGCAUCUUUGAGGCCCAAAGAUGCUGGGUAAGAUCCCCCAAACCAGGAAAUUAGAGAGAAGCAAGGCUAGGUCAUUUGAUUCCAACCUCACUUGCCAAGGGGACUGCAAGUACAUGGCAGCCCGUCUGACCCCGUCCUGUUGCUGGUGUACCUGCUUCUCUGGACCCCGUUUUCUGAGUGGAGGCUAAAGCCCCUGCGGCAACUGUACUCCCACAACAGUUUCAACAGCCAGGGUUCAUAAAUGUAGCCCUCUUCUUGAACUUGAAACUUUUUGAAGUUGUGGGCUUCUGCUUCAUUGUGUCUGGCUUUCAGGAAUCCCACACCUGCCACCCCAACCCAACAGCCUCCCCAUUCAGGCAAAACCUGGGGUCUCUUCUGCUCCAGAAUCUGGCCCUGGGCUCCCAGAACCAGGUCCUCGUCUGCAUUUCCAUUGGAGCCUGUGGCUGGGGCCAAACCAGGCACCUAAAGUUUUUUUCUCUGCUCCUACCAACUCCUUUUAUGGCCUCUGGGGCCAGUUCCUUCUUCAUAAUAAGUCAUAACUGGAAAAGGCCUCUGAAGUCACUGAGUCCAACUUGCGCCAACACUUUCCUUUUCUAAAGAAAGAAAAAAAAAAAUGUCCUUACGCCUCCCGGUCUCCAGGCAGGUUCCAAAGACAAAGACAGCGCGGCAGCGUCCUGCGUGAGAAGGAAACUCCAGCCCGGGGAUGGGACCUGGGCACGCACCUGUAAAGUGGGGGUGGGGGGACCCUAACCUCUGUUUCUUCUAAGACCCUAGCCCCCAGCUCCUAGGGUUCUGCCACUAGCCGCGGGGACCAGCUAACGAGCCUCUAAUUCGGCCCCCCUCGGUAGGACACUUUCCUCGCCUCCGUGCUGGGAGCUGGGGGCAGCUCGCGUGUCUAGCC